CUUCUAACUAGGGUUCCGUUCGCCGCGCCGUCACUCCCCUCCCCUUACUCGCAACCGCGUCGUAAGGCACUCCGGCGGCGGCGAUGAUUACGUCCCCCCUCCUCCCGCCGGGUAAGCAGCCAUGUGAUCCCACCCCGCCGCCGUUUUGUUUCUGGCGCAUGACGUGCGUGCGGGGCACGAUCAUUGGCUACAAGCGACCCCAGCAGUGUCCGACUCUAGACCGAGGUAGAAUGCCUUGCUCACCUCAGCCGUUCGACUGUGUGGUGUGCUGGUUGUUGGAUAUCAUACCAGUUUACAUGUCAGCUUGAAUGCUUCUCUAUCAGUGACGCAAAUACUGGCUUGAAUAUCUAACAGUGUUACAUGAUGCGAGUGUUUAGAUGUCAGGUUGGACACACCUCUGUCAGUUUUAAUGCAAGCUAGUGGUUGUGUCUUGUAUGUUGGUGAUGCAAACCUUCAAGGGCUAUCUAAUCAGGAUUUGAAGCUGCGGUAUUAUGUUGUUCUGUAUUUGAUUUGAUGCUUCUGUUGUUUAUGUCUAAGGGUUCCAUGCCAUUUGGGGGAAGCUCUCCUUUUAGCUUCGAAAUGCCCGCAGGUUCUCUGCGGGGUGCUCGGAUGUUGGGGCCCUAGAGUAAAUGCAGUGGUCUCAUAGUACGAGGCUGUACUUUGGCUGAUGGGUCUCUCAUCAAUCGCUUCCUCACAGCCUUGCCUCCAAUGACCACAACAUUCAUUAUUUGUGUCUUUUAAAUUUGCGUUCUCUCGCGUGGCAAAUGUUUGGAGUUUGAGAUAGUUCUGUUUGAUUAUUGUGUAAUUGUAUUGGGCCCUGCAUUAUAUGCCUUUCUAUUUAGGUGAUUCUGUAUCUAUCUUUCGCUAGGUUGGUGAACAGUGUUAGACUAUGUUACAGAUUUGAAAAAAUUAUUGACACGUUGAUUUGGGCAAGCAAACUGUAUUAUAUACCUGUUUGUCUUGUUUAAAUUCUGCUUUACUAGGUAGUCAAUACACUCAUGCUAUUAUGUUACAGCGGCUAAGGUUGCCUCGGCACGUCACCAUGUCUGUCUGGUGGAGCCGGCCAAGUCGUCAUUUCUUCUGCAUGUGUUUUUAUUGUUUGAUUUGGAUCUGUUUUCUCUUUUGUGUCCUAUAUUUUGAUUGCCAUCGUGUGUUACUGCUUGAUUUUUUAUCUGUUAUCUCUUCUGUUGUUCCCCUUUCUUUCUGUGAUGCAGAGGAAAGCUAGGUUAUAAGGGCAAUGAUGAUGCAAAGUCAUGCACCACUCUGAAUGAGGGAUUUUUCUCUCUUUGGGCUGACAAGCAAACUUUCUACCCAUUGUUUAUCUGAGCCUUUACUUACCUGUGUGCUUUCUUCUGUCUCCUUUUUGUGUGCUGCUUAAUGUGAUACUUAGUUCGUUGAGUUUUGUGGAGUUAGUGAUUCUUGAGAAUUGGAUGAUGUGGGUCGACAGAUCCAACUAUGAUGUGAACUGAAUUUUAUUUGAGGUCAAAUCUAAUUGCUGCUUGUGGUUAUCGGGGUUACCUUUAUUCUGUUGUUGCUUUUUUUUGAUUUGUUGCUUUGAAUCAGUUUUGAUGAAUAUGGUUUCAGAGUGGUGAAGCCAAUUUGCAGAGCAAAGGGGCCAGAUAAGUGGCGAUCUUUGCAUUGAAGGUUGGCGACAACAAAAAUGCAGUUCUCCGUGCCGCUCAGAUUUUCAUCUGUUCUGUGAUGGCCUCGAACAAGCUGCUACAUCAUCUCUUACCUGUGAUAACCUACUCCCUAUGUGCUUGAAUAAAUCAAUCCAUAGAGCUGUCAUAAGUCAAUAUUUUUUUGUUUGAUUGAUCUCCCCUGUUUUGUGUUAAUGUUUGAGUUAAAUGGUAACUACAAAACUGACAUGAGCGAUUUAAGCAGAUGCAUCCUCCCUUGUUAAUGUGGUCCAAACCAACACUUGCAAGAACUCCCUUGUUUAAGCCAAUGGUAGUUGAAAUGGGCCAUUGAGGGAGGCCAGCAUUGGUACACCUGCAAGAAUGGGGAUCCAACAGACAUAGCUGCAAUGGCGGUCACUGUUUUCAAGUCAUCUGAUUAAUCACGAUUAGUCGCGAUUAAUCGUCCAAGUCGGUUUGAAUCAAUCAUGAUUAAUCGCCCAAAUUGUCCAACUAAAUGUGAUUAAUCACGAUUAAUCGUCCAAGUCGGUCAGUUAGAACGACCAGCAAGUUGUCCGACUUGAAAACAAUGAUGGAGGCUGACAGGGGUCCCCCAAAGUAGAUGCAGAAGAAAGCAGCUAAAGAGGCAGUUGUUAAUGUUGUACAUAAGAAAAGAAAGAGGCAAGCCCCUUCAUCAUCAUGUGUGAAGAAAAACAAGGGAUCAGUUACAAAUACAACAUCAACUACUACUCCUAAUCCUCUGUCUAGCAAGUAUAAUUUUCAAUGUGUCCAUUCGUUGUCGAUACUUGGCAAUGCCAGUUAUCAUAACUGAACUGAGUUUUGUGUUUCUUUAUCACAAUAUAUGGAACUGGAUCCAAUUUCAUCACCUGUUCU